GGGGUUUAGUGCCGGAGGGCAGGGUUUAGUGCCCUGGGGUAGGAGGCAGGGUUUAGUGCACUGGGGGUGGGGUUUAGUGCCCUGGGGGUGGGGUUUAGUGCCAGGGGGUGGGGAUUUAGUUUCCUCAGGGCAGAGUUGCCCUUCCUCUUAAGGGCUCCACCCAGAUGCCCUCAUCUUUAUAUGAACCCAUCAGUCUAAUCAGAGGUGUCUCCUCUGCUCCGCCCCCUAUGGUGCUCUUGCUCUGCCCUCUGAGGGGUUGUUGCUCCGCCCCCUGAGGUAUACUUACUCCGCCCCCUGAGGUGAUCUCUGCUCCGCCCCCUGAGGUGCUCUCGAGGCGCUUUACCUGAAAGCUCAGCAGUGGAACUCUAGCAGCUGUGCCUUCCUGCCCCCAACCGCCUACUGCAACACGCACCAGCUGAGAAUACCGCUUCCGCAAUGUUCUUUGAACUUAGAUUCCAUUAUGUUGUAUGGAAACGUUUUUCCGUCUUGCUGAUCAGUGACAGUGCCACAACUAGCUAUGUAUUUUGCAAAAAGAUGUUUUUUAUUUGUUUGUUAAUAAACACAAUGGGCUGUAAGUAAAAUGUGCUCACAAGCAUGCAGUUAAUUCUGUAAGAGGUGUUAUGGUGAAAAGCCAUAUCAAGCAGGUCUUUACCCUAUAAAACUGCAUAUGGGUCAUGGCAUGUAUUAUAACGCGUAAUUGCGGGUGGAAGUGGGAUUUAACUGCACAUUAUUCAUUCACACAUCUUGUAGGAAAUGUACUGUACUGCAGACGUGCCAUGCUGGGAUGUUUGUCUGCUUGUGAAUUAAGAGGCUGGCGCAGACGGAUUGUGCUUUAUACGGUGUAGGCGCGACUUAAUCUUGGGAUAUGACAGAAUUUGUGUUUUAAAAUGGUGGUUUGUCGCUGAGGAGUGAAAUUAUUCAUGUCUUCACCAAAUGAAUUGUUUUCCUCUCACUUAAUAGAGAAGUUCCCACUGAUGUUACUUCAGCAGGGCCUCCAUUAUCCCAGGUUGGCGAAGGCCCGGAAGGCCUCCAUCUUAAUGCAGUGAGCUGAAGUUGGUUUCCACGUUAUGAUUGGUUAUACGUUGUGUUAGGGUUUACACAUUUAUAGGAAUUACAGUAAUGUGCCGUACUGUUUAAGGAAUUUGUUCACAAUCUAGUGGGGGAUUAACGGAUCAAAUCCAUGUUGCUCAGAAAAAGAUGUUCUGGUUAACAGCAUUAAUGUACAGUAAUGUCAUUUAUAUAUAUUGGUAUUGAAUUAUACAUAUGAUGUAUGAGCAAAGUUUAAAAUGGUUUAAAACAAUAAAAACUAUCAUGAUUAAA